GGCCGCUGGGGCGGCGCGGGCGCGGGUCCCCUCGUGGCUCUCCGGGAGCGAGCCCCGUGCAGGCCGCUGGGGCGGAAGGGGCGGCGUGGGUCCCCCUUGUGGCUCUCCGGGAACGACCCCCGUGCAGGCCGCUGGAGCGGAGGGGGCAGUGCAGGCGCGGGGUCCCCCUCGUGGCUCUCCGGGAGCGAGCCCCGUGCAGGCCGCUGGGGCGGAAGGGGCGGCGCGGGUCCCCCUCGUGGCUCUCCGGGAGCGAGCCCCGUGCAGGCCGCUGGGGCGGAAGGGGCGGCGCGGGUCCCCCUCGUGGCUCUCCGGGAGCGAGCCCCGUGCAGGCCGCUGGAGCGGAGGGGGCGGCGCGGGCGCGGGGUCCCCCUCGUGGCUCUCCGGGAGCGAGCCCCGUGCAGGCCGCUGGGGCGGAAGGGGCGGCGCGGGUCCCCCUCGUGGCUCUCCGGGAGCGAGCCCCGUGCAGGCCGCUGGAGCGGAGGGGGCGGCGCGGGCGCGGGGUCCCCCUCGUGGCUCUCCGGGAACGACCCCCGUGCAGGCCGCUCGCGGAAGGGGCGGCGCGGGGUCCCCCUCGUGGCUCUCCGGGAGCGAGCCCCGUGCAGGCCGCUGGAGCGGAGGGGGCAGCGCGGGGUCCCCCUCGUGGCUCUCCGGGAGCGAGCCCCGUGCAGGCCGCUGGAGCGGAGGGGGCGGCGCGGGUCCCCCUCGUGGCUCUCCGGGAGCGAGCCCCGUGCAGGCCGCUGGAGCGGAGGGGGCAGUGCAGGCGCGGGUCCCCCUCGUGGCUCUCCGGGAGCGAGCCCCGCGCAGGCCGCUGGAGCGGAGGGGGCAGUGCAGGCGCGGGGUGCCCCCUCGUGGCUCUCUGGGAAUGACCCCCGCGCAGGCCGCUGGAGCGGAGGGGGCAGUGCAGGCGCGGGUCCCCCUCGUGGCUCUCCGGGAGCGAGCCCCGUGCAGGCCGCUCGAGCGGAAGGGGCGGCGCGGGCGCGGGGUCCCCCUCGUGGCUCUCCGGGAGCGAGCCCCGCGCAGGCCGCUGGAGCGGAGGGGGCAGUGCAGGCGCGGGGUCCCCCUCGUGGCUCUCCGGGAACGACCCCCGUGCAGGCCGCUGGAGCGGAGGGGGCGGCGCGGGGUCCCCCUCGUGGCUCUCCGGGAGCGAGCCCCGCGCAGGCCGCUGGAGCGGAGGGGGCGGCGCGGGCGCGGGGUCGCUGCCCUGACAGGUGCUGGAGACGCACGCACACCCAGGUCUCGGGUCAAACACUCCUGUUGAAUUUCUGUACACGAGAUACUUCAAAAAGGUGGUUGAAAAUGGAAUUGACAGAUAAAUUUAUUUUUUAUUUUUUAAAGAUUUAUUUAUGUAUUUGGAAGGCAGAGUUACAGAGAAGCAGAGAGAGAGAGGUCUCCCAUCUGCUUGUUCACUCGCUGAAUGGCCACAGUGGCUGGGCCUGGGCCAAUCUGGAGCCAGGAGCUGCAUCAGAGUUUCCCAUGUGGAUGGCAGGGUCCCAGGCACUGGGGCCAUCUUUCCCAGACCAUUAGCAGAGAGCUGGAUUGGAAGUAGAGCAGCCAGGACUCAAACUGGUGCCCAUGUGGGAUCCCAGCACAGCAGGCGGCGGCUUUACCCACUGCACCUCAGUUCCAGCCCCUAUUUUGUUUUUUUAAGGGCUUACUUUUAGUUACUUGAAAGGCAGAAUGAUAGGUGGGGGUGCAGAGAGAGCUCCCACCGGCUGGUUUGCUCCCCAGGUGGCUGUGAUGGCUGGGCUGGGCCAGGCCGAAGCCAGGAACUCCAGCCGGGUCUCCCACGUGGACGGCGGGGACCCAAGUCCUUGGGCCCUUUGCUGCUUUCCCAGGCGGGGAGCUGGAUCAGGAGCGGAGCAGCCAGGACUUGAUUCGGCCUUCCGAUGCAGGAAGUUAGUAUUGCAAGUGAUAGCUUAGUCCGCCCUGCCACGACGCCGGCCCCAGGCAGAUUGCUCUUGAAGCCUGUGUGGGGUUUUUACGUAGUGUGCGUUUCCACGAACUUCGUGUGGGGUGUGCUCCUGUGAGCUGCUGGCAGCCUGUGUGCAAACCUGGAGACGUCUCCUCAGCCUCCAGGUUUUCAUGGAGGAACCCAGUUACCGCGGUGGGAGGUUUCUUGGAAUAACCUCAGCCUCGCCUCUUAGUCUGACUCCGGUGGGGAAUCACGCGCGUUGCAGAGUGCGGUGGCCGGCUGUGACCUAAUUCUGAGCUGUGAUAAAUAACGCGGCAGCCGGGGAGCUGAGUGAACCGUGCCAUUGUCCCCAGCGCGGCAGCCGAACACACCGCUCUCAGGGCUCGCUUUCCGUCAGGAAGCGCAGAUAAGGGACUGGGGUUGGAGUUUCUCCUCCCACUCCCCGGUGGUGCGGGCAGCACUGCCGACCGGGUGGCCGCAGAGCUGCUGUGGGAAGCCCUGGCUUUAGUAGCUCUGGUGGGAAGGACCCAGGCGUCAUGCGGGAGGAAGGCGGCGUCUGCACCGUGGCUUCUCGGGUCCCUCCCAUGCAAGCAGCUGGGCCGGCAAAGGGCUGGGCUGGUUGGCACAGCACCUGGGUUGCUUGCCGUGCGUGCCACAGGCUGCCCCGCGGAGGCGCUCAGCCCUUCUCUGCCCUGUGGCUGCCGUACACUGGGGGCGGCCGUUGGGCCUGGCAGUUCACCCCGGGCAGGAAGCCUGUAUCCGUCAUUGAAGUGCUUGGGGCCAGCUCCCGUUCUGACCCAGCUUCCUGCUAACACAGACUGGCUCAGGUGGUUGGGCUUUGGCCGCUCGCCUGGGAAACCUGGUCGGAGUUCCUGGCUCCUGUCGUCAUCCUGGCCCAGUGCCGGCUGUCGUGAGCACUUGACGAGUGGACCAGCAGACGGGGUCUGUCUGUCUGUCUCUCUCUUCCUCAAAUAAGUAGAUAAUACAAAAGAGGCAGGGGGGAGGGGGGGAGAAUUCGGGGAACUCUGGCACGGGCCUCGGGUGGGUCUGGAUUCAGAGAGGGAGCCCGUGGAGCACGCGGGUUUGGUGUCCCGGUUCUUGCCGGGAUCUGGCAGUGGUGCCCUCCCCUCCCUGCUCUGAGGAGCUGGGUGGCUCCCAGGCCGGCUUGUGUUUCAUCCGUGUGUGUGUGCUUGUCUUCGGACGGAACGCCCCGUGCCAGGGUGGCCUCGCGCCACUCCGAGGUGGCCUGGUGAAAGCCGCCUCCUGGCCUGACCUGUUUGGGCCACAUUUUGUGAUCUGUUUCACUGUCCCCUGUAUUUAAAAUAAGAGUUUUUAGAUGGUUAAUUCUGAGCAUAAAUUUCAGCUCAUCUCUGAGUGUUUAAAAAGCUGGGCCCUUGGGGCUGGCGCUGUGGUGCAGCGGGUUAAACCACCGCCUGCAGUGCUGGCAUCCCAUGUGGGGGCUGGUUCAAGUCCCGGCUGCUCCAUUUCCGAUCCAGCUCCCUGCUAAUGCACCUGGGAAAGCAGUGGAAGAUGGCCCAAGUGCUUGGGCCCCUGCACCCGCGUGGGAGACCUGGAGGAAGCUCCUGGCUCCUGGCUUCAGAUCAGCACAACAGUGGUCAUUGCGGCCACCGGCCACUUGGGGAGUGAACCAGUGAUGAAAGAUCUCUCCCUGACUCUCCUUCUCUCCCUCCCUCUCUCGCUCUCUUGCUCACUCGCUCUCUCUGCCUUUCAAAUAAGUAAGUAAAUAUUGAGAAAAAAAAAAAAA